AGUAGUGGCGAGCGAACGCGGACUAGGCCAGUGGCUUUAUUGUUGUAACCGGAACAUUCUGGAAAGUUUGGCAUUAAUGGGUGAUAGCCCUGUACGGAUACAGCAACGAUAAGGUCCUUGAGUAGGGCGGAACACGUGAAAUUCUGUCUGAACAUGGGGCGACCACGCUCCAAGCCUAAGUACUCCCAUGCGACCGAUAGUGAACCAGUACCG
rnacentral:rRNA from 1 species